rnacentral:tRNA from 2 species
GCAGUCGUGGCCGAGUGGUUAAGGCAAUGGACUGGAAAUCUAUUGGGGUUUCCCCGCACAGGUUCGAAUCCUUUCGACUGCA